rnacentral:rRNA from 1 species
GACAGAGGGUGCGAACGUUGUUCGGAAUUACUGGGCGUAAAGGGCGCGUAGGCGGCCCGUCAAGUCCCGUGUGAAAGCCCCCGGCUCAACCGGGGAACGGCGCGGGAAACUAGCAGGCUUGAGUUCGGGAGAGGGAAGCGGAAUUCCCGGUGUAGUGGUGAAAUGCGUAGAUAUCGGGAGGAACACCAGUGGCGAAGGCGGCUUCCUGGCCUGUUCUUGACGCUGAGGCGCGAAAGCUAGGGGAGCAAACGGG